GCAUAGCUUCCAAAUCAGCACACUCCAUGUUUUCAUACUUGGCUUACCGUUAAUGUCCAACAACUCGGAAUGGAAAUACAGAGCUUCCUUCACUUGAUUGCAUCUGCAGAGACUUUGGAUUAUGCAGUCGUAGCUCCCGCAGUUUGGUAGGUUCCUUUUCUUCAACAUUGUGUUCAGAAGAUCAACAGCAGUAGUUGUUCUUCCAUACCAACAGAACCUUUUAAUUAGGCCGUCAUAAUUGAUUCUAUCUGGUAUUAAACCUUUCUCCACAAUCCUAUUCAGGAAACUCUCCGCGUCUUGGAUCUUAUUUUGACAAAAAAAAUGCUCUGCAACUGCAUUUUGAAGGAUGGAAUCGUGAACCCAACCUCUCGAUUCCAUUUCUCUACUCAACUCCAACACCUUGCUAAAAUUAUCUUGC
rnacentral:lncRNA from 1 species